UACGAAGGGUGCAAGCGUUACUCGGAAUUACUGGGCGUAAAGCGUGCGUAGGUGGUGAGUUAAGUCUGUCGUGAAAGCCUCGGGCUCAACCUGGGAAUGGCGAUGGAUACUGGCUCGCUAGAGUGCGGUAGAGGAGAGUGGAAUUCCCGGUGUAGCAGUGAAAUGCGUAGAGAUCGGGGAGGAACAUCAGUUGCGAAGGCGGCUCUCUGGACCAGCACUGACACUGAGGCACGAAAGCGUGGGGAGCAAACAGG
rnacentral:rRNA from 1 species